CACUUGUACUGUGAAACUGCGAAUGGCUCAUAAAAUCAGUUAUCGUUUAUUUGAUUGUACCAUUGCUACAUGGAUAACCGUAGUAAUUUUAGAGCUUAUACAUGCGAAAAGUUCCGAAUUUUGGAAGGGAUGUUUUUUUUUGAUUCAAAACCAAUGGGGGUUUGCGCCCGGUACUUUGGUGAUUCACAAUGACUGUGCGAAUCGCAUGGCCUUUGCGCGGGCGAUGUUUCAUUCAAAUUUCUGCCUUAUCAACUGUGGAUGUUAAGGUAGUGGCUUACCAUGGUUGCAACGGGUGAGGGAGAUUUAGGUUUGGAUUCGGGAGAGGGAGCCUUGAGAAACGGUUACCACAUCCAAGGAAGGCAGCAGGCGCGCAAAUUACCCAAUCUUGACACAGGGAGGUAGUGCCGAAAAUUACCAAUACAGGGCUUUUCAAGUCUUGUAAUUGGAAUGAGUACAAUUUAAAUCUCUUAACGAGGAUCCAUUGGAGGGCAAGUCUGGUGCCCGCAGCCGCGGUAAUUCCCGCUCCCAUAGCGUAUACUAAAGUUGUUGCAGUUAAAAAGCUCGUAGUUGGAUUUCGGAGCGGCGCGCGUUGGUCAGCCGCAAGGUAUGUCACUGGCCGCGCUGUUCUUCUUUGCCAAGACUGCGCGUGCUCUUAGUUGAGUGUGCGCAGGAUUCGCGACGUUUACAUUUGAAGAAGAAUUAGAGUGUUCAAAGCAGGCUCGUGCUUGGAUACAUAAGCAUGGGAUAAUGGGAAUAGGACUUUGGUUCUAUUUUUGUUGGUUUCUCGGAACCGAAGUAAUGAUUUAUAAGGGACAGUUUGGGGGCAUUCCUAUUUUCGUUUGCAGAAGUGAAAAUUUUUGGAUUUUCCAAAAAACCAAAUAAUGGGCAAA
rnacentral:rRNA from 1 species